rnacentral:rRNA from 1 species
CCUACGGGUGGCAGCAGUGGGGGAUAUUGCACAAUGGGGGGAACCCUGAUGCAGCGACGCCGCGUGGGUGAAGAAGCGCCUCGGCGCGUAAAGCCCUGUCAGCAGGGAAGAAAAUGACGGUACCUGAAGAAGAAGCCAUGGCUAACUACGUGCAAGCAGCCGCGGGAAUACGUAGGGGGCAAGCGUUAUCCGGAUUUACUGGGUGUAAAGGGGGCGCAGACGGCGAUGCAAGCCAGGAGUGAAAGCCCGGGGCCCAACCCUGGGACUGCUCUUGGAACUGCAUGGCUGGAGUGCAGGAGGGGCAGGCGGAAUUCCUGGUGUAGCGGUGAAAUGCGUAGAUAUCAGGAGGAACACCGGUGGCGAAGGCGGCCUGCUGGACUGCAACUGACGUUGAGGCCCGAAAGCGUGGGGAUCAAACAGGAUUAGAUACCCUAGUAGUC